UACGAAGGGGGCUAGCGUUGCUCGGAAUCACUGGGCGUAAAGGGUGCGUAGGCGGGUCUUUAAGUCGGGUGUGAAAUCUCAGAGCUCAACUCUGAAACUGCACUCGAUACUGCUCUGCUUGAGGACUGGAGAGGAGACUGGAAUUCACGGUGUAGCAGUGAAAUGCGUAGAUAUCGUGAGGAAGACCAGUGGCGAAGGCGGGUCUCUGGACAGUUCCUGACGCUGAGGCGCGAAGGCCAGGGGAGCAAACGGG
rnacentral:rRNA from 1 species